CAUAGGCAGUGGCUUGGUUAAAGGAACCCACUGGAGCCCUAGCAAAAGCGAGUCUUCAUAGGGCAAUUGUCACUGCUUAUGGACCCGAACCUGGGUGAUUUAUUUAUCCAUGACCAGGAUGAAGCUUAGGUGAAACUAAGUGGAGGUCGGAACCGAGAAUCAGUGGAUGAGUUGUGGUUAGGGGUGAAAUGCCACUCGAACCCAGAGCGGCUGA
rnacentral:ncRNA from 1 species